rnacentral:rRNA from 1 species
GGGGGGGGGGGGGGGGGGGCGGGGGGGGGGGGGGGGGGGGGAGGAGGGGGGGCGGGGGGGGUGGGUUAGUGGCGGACGGGUGGGGAACGCGUGAGGGACGGGCCCUUGACUCUGGGAUAAGCCUGGGAAACGGGGUCUAAUACCGGAGAGGAGCGGCCACCGCAUGGUGGGUGGUGGACAGAUUUAUCGGGGUUGGCUGGACUCGCGGCCUCUCGGCUGGUUGGUGGGGCAAUGGCUCACCAAGGCGACGACGGGUAGCCGGCCUGAGAGGGUGACCGGCCACACUGGGACUGAGACACGGCCCAGACUCCUACGGGAGGCAGCAGUGGGGAAUAUUGCACAAUGGGCGCAAGCCUGAUGCAGCGACGCCGCGUGAGGGAUGACGGCCUUCGGGUUGUAAACCUCUUUCAGUAGGGAAGAAGCGAAAGUGACGGUACCUGCAGAAGAAGCACCGGCUAACUACGUG